rnacentral:rRNA from 1 species
GCCAGCAGCAUACCACCCUGCAUCCCACUGCUGGCUUGCUUCUGAAGCUAAGCAGGGUUGGUCAUAAUCAGUCUCUGGAUGGGAGACCAGAUGCUGCUGGAA